UACGUAGGGCGCAAGCGUUGUCCGGAAUUAUUGGGCGUAAAGAGCUCGUAGGCGGUCUGUUACGUCUGCUGUGAAAACCCGGGGCUUAACCCCGGGCUUGCAGUGGAUACGGGCAGACUAGAGGCAGGUAGGGGAGAAUGGAAUUCCCGGUGUAGCGGUGAAAUGCGCAGAUAUCGGGAGGAACACCGGUGGCGAAGGCGGUUCUCUGGGCCUGUACUGACGCUGAGGAGCGAAAGCGUGGGGAGCGAACAGG
rnacentral:rRNA from 1 species